rnacentral:rRNA from 1 species
UUGGGGUUUAAAGAGCACGUAGGCGGACCGGAAAGUUGGGGGUGAAAUCCCCGGGGGCUCAACCCCCGGAAUUGCCUUCAAAACUCCCCGGUCUGGAGUUCGGGAGAGGUGAGUGGAAUUCCGAGUGUAGAGGUGAAAUUCGUAGAUAUUCGGAGGAACACCAGUGGCGAAGGCGGCUCACUGGCCCCGAUACUGACGCUGAGGUGCGAAAGCGUGGGGAGCAAAACAGGAUUAGAUACCCGCGUA